rnacentral:rRNA from 1 species
AUUGAACGCUGGCGGCAGGCCUAACACAUGCACGUCGAACGAGUGGCGGACGUGUGAGUAAUGUCUGGGAAACUGCGUGAAGGAGGGGGAUCACUACUGGAAACGGUAGCUCAUACCGCAUACAAUCAGAUGUGCCCAGAUGGGAUUAGCUUGGUGGUGGGGUAACGGCUCACCAAGGCGAAGAGCCCUAGCUGGUCUGAGAGGAUGACCCGCCACACUGGAACUGAGACACGGUCCAGACGCCUACGGUAGGCAGCAGUGGGGAAGAGUGCACAAUGGGCGCAAGCCGGAUGCAGACAGGCCGCGUGUAUGAAGAAGGCCUUCGGGUGGUAAAGUACUUUCAGCGGGGAGGAGUUACCCGCAGAAGAAGCACCGGCUAACUCCGUGCCAGCAGCCGCGGUAAUAC